rnacentral:lncRNA from 1 species
GCUUGUCAGGGGGCUGUGAGUAACUGGCCAUAAACUGCAUUACAAUCUGAUUACAAAACGCAUUCCCAAGACAUCCAGUUUCUUCUCCAACACGUAAAGUGCUUGGAAAUCAUCAUUCUUGUCCUGACAACAACAACAACAACAAAAAAGCCAAACAAACUGAAAUCAACAACUCCUCUUAGCUGCCAUAGAGAAUUGAGGUCACAAGGCAGAUGGCCAUCCCCAAAGCCUGGGAGACGGUAAGGUGAUACAGAGAAUUACAGUCCACUGGGAUCAGAGUUGCUGGAACUUCUGACAGGUAGGGACACUUACACGGUGGUGGACGGAUCAGCACAGUGCCAGGGUGGGGUACCAGCAUGCGAGAAGAACUCCAGGCUGCCGGGUCUCCCAAGUGCCCCAUGUGUCUAGAAGUUUCCUUUCAGGGGACCACUGGAUCCUCAGGAAAUUCCCCUUAUGCUUCCAGCAGGCUGAAAGAAAAAGUAAGCACUUUAAAUAUAUCUGGAACAUUCUGUUUUCCUUAAGAAAGACAGAUGAUAGAUGGAAAAGGAGAUAGAUGGUAGGUAAAAGAUAAGCAGAUAGAUAGAUGAUAGAUAUAGAUAGAUAGAUAGAUAGAUAGAUAGAUAGAUAGAUAGAUAGAUAGAUGUGAUAGAAGGAAGGAAGAUGAAGGAUGGAUGGCUGGAUGGAGACGUGAGACCAGCCUCAGAGAAGAGUCAGGUGAGGCCAAUUUCCUGGUCACACACGACUAAGUGACAGCCUACCCUCCAGCUUCCCAGUUCCUGAUACCUUAUUUGUAAACCCCACCAUGUCUGAUUUCAGUAGUUUAUGUGAUUUCCAGUUGCUUGUGACUGAACCUGCUUUGAUUACAUCCACAGAGUGCAAACAACAAGCGAAACAUACAUGGAGUGCACUGGAGACAUCCACGCUAGCGAUGUGGGUGUCCGCCCAGGAGGAGCCAGCUCACCUCCUCCAAGGCUCGCCUCUUCUCACAAGCUUCCGUUUGGCUGCUUUCCUCUUGAAGCAUUCCCUGAGUCUCCACACCUGAGUAUCACUCCUUCUGCUGAAACCCCCAAAACUGACCAGCAACCAGCAAAGCCUUCCGGCGCUGAGGUUUUUAAAUGUCAGGAUUCUGGAAAAGACGGGAAAUGAAGACUCGGAGGAGGUAAGCUGUGUGCUCCCCUCUCGGGAGGCUGGGCCCGAAGUGGAUCUCAUGCUGAGAUGGCACCCUUAUUCUCCUGAAGCAGCUGAGUGCCUGAGCCCCUCUAGACACUUCAGCAAAGAUGUUUUCUCGCCCUGGAGCAGCAUCCCUGGAACGCAGAGAGCUGGAGGUAGCAGUUUUCCUCUCUAGGCCUUGCAGCUUUCCUAACAGUAGUAAAUUAAAUUUGAACUUGAACUAUGCAGUCUGUAUCCCAGCAGGCAUCAUUUGGUCACUUUCCUGCAGGCCCUUAGACCUUGACACACUGAGGUUUUCAGUGCCAUGAACUUGGAGAGGGGCCCCCGGGACCCCAGAUGCAGCUACUGAGGCUCCCUUUGAACUGUGCACCUUAAAAAGGUGAGUCCUAGGUGGGCAUGCUGCCAUAACUGGGGCCAAAGUGCUGGAGAAUUCUCCAGCUGCCAUCUGACAUCAAGUCCCCUCCAUUCUUAGAGGGGCAGCCCAAGGUCCCACCAUGCAGGCACAAUGAAUACACAGCACCUUACCUUCAAAAAGGGACAGUCCUCAAGGCCUCUCCGGUGUGGAAGCAAAUCCAGUCCUUCAAACACAACGCAAACAAAUGACUUUGGCUCGUCUCAGUGGUGAUAACUAUGUUUGGGGAUAAUGCUUUUGUAAGUUUCCCAGGUAUGCAGCACAAUUCUUCCAUUUGCCUGGCUUUUCCCUAAUAGUACAACCUAAUUAAAUAUGAUUAGUUUCCAAAUUGCAUUAAGCUGGAGUCCCCACACACAGACACCCCUGAAUCUAAUUAGAGGCUACCGCAAGCGUCAGAAAAGCCCGCAGACAUGACAUUACUCCAUGAAGCAUAAUUGUCUGCAGCAUUUAAUGCUUCAAUUCUCCUGGUGAUGAGAGGGAAAAAAAUAUGUGGCAAAAGAAAAAAAUUGUGUUUGUCAGCCGUAGUUUGACAACUUUAACAAAUAGCUCCGCAUCUUAAUAGAACAAGUUUCCGGUAGACAUUCCAGAAGGCUGAGAUUAGAAGGGCUUCGUCGGGCAGGCGGGACGGGCAGCUCCCCACCCCGGCACCCAAGGUGACUUCACGGCAUCCGACCUGCUGAAAGGAAGCAGCCAAUAUUCAUGCACACAGCAAAUCACAUUCAUGUCAACCCAAACAUCCUGUGAGCUCAUGCUAAAAAAAUGGUACCAGUUCGGAAAUGGAGACAAGAUGGGACCAAGAGAGGAGGAAGCCCAGGAUGCCCUGCCCCAGACACCCCAUUUGCUGGCUGAGAUGAACCCAGAGCACAAACGCAACUGAGUCACUCUCCACCACUCAUACAGGAUUUAAUUAGCAGAGGGGCUGAGCCUGGAGAAAGUCUCCCGAGUGUGAAAGAAAAAUGAAAGGGAGGGUAUGAAUCAAUGCUUUUCCUACCUAAAGAUGAAUGAAAUGUGCUUUAUUUUCUCACUUUUCUGCUCCCUUGGGCUUCCACCAGACCUCCAGCCUUGUCUGUUCUGGUA